rnacentral:rRNA from 1 species
UACGGAGGGGGCUAGCGUUGUUCGGAAUUACUGGGCGUAAAGCGCGCGUAGGCGGACCUGCAAGUCGGGGGUGAAAGCCCGAGGCUCAACCUCGGAACUGCCUUCGAUACUGCGGGUCUCGAGUCCGGGAGAGGUGAGUGGAAUUCCUAGUGUAGAGGUGAAAUUCGUAGAUAUUAGGAAGAACACCAGUGGCGAAGGCGGCUCACUGGCCCGGUACUGACGCUGAUGCACGAAAGCUAGGGGAGCAAACAGG